rnacentral:misc_RNA from 1 species
ACAGGUGCGCACAAGCACUACGUAGACGCACCGACAAAGACGUUCCACAUGCACUCCACCGGCCUCCUUCUUCGCCCACUCACUUCACCAUAUCACCACCACCCCUCACACGGGUACCACAGUCUCCCCUCCUCCCUCCCUCCCUCCCUUCCUCACUCCCUCUCCAUAUAUUAUUCCCAAUAUUCUCUUUAGGCUUUAUGCGUUGUUUGCUCGCUUUUUUUUCUUGAAGUUGUUAUCAUUAUCACUUUCACUUUUCUCGUUUACAUAUACGUCCACAUCCCAUCCCCUCCUCUCCCUCCCCCUCGUGGGGGAGGGGGGUAGCCGAGAUCAUAUUUAAGCCAGACAAGCACACACAUACACACACACACACACACCGCCGCUGUCUGUCUUCCUCCCUUUCACGCCUUCGCAGCAGGCGCACACAUCUGGUUGCCGAUAUAUGCCUCGCCAUUCAAGGCAUUCCAUGGGCUUGACGCUGCUAGCUACGCCGCGAGCGACACCACCAAUGAAAGCAGCAGCAGGUGUAUCACCAAUGAAGACCCCUGCCGCGCACGAACAGGGGGUGCCGAUGCAUCCUCCAGAGGGGCGCCAUCAGCCACUCUCGUCCCGAUGCAGCUCCUCUCCGGCAUGGCUGCGCAAGGUAAAGCAUGUGGGCACCGCCGCACGUAACGUUCUCUGCCGCCUGGACAUUUGCUGGGCCGUUUUUUACUUUGUCUUCCUCGUCUGUGUCGGCUCCGUCAGCUCCUCCAUUUCAUAUCGGCUGGUGAGUCGCUCGCUGAUCGAGGCGGGGCGCAGCCUGCACGAAAACCGCAUCACCACCGUGAACAAGCUCAUUGACCAGAGCAUGGACCGCGUCGAUGACAUGGCGGGCGGCCUCCUCACUCUCUACAUGAAGACCCAGUUUCUGAUGCAAUCUGAAAAGACGCUCUCGGUGCUGUGCGCGCUGCUGGAGAGAUACGACGAGGCGAGGAAUUACCGCGCCUUCUCCGUCAUCUCGCUGGAGCAGCUGGAGAUGAUAUCAUGUUGGCGCGGAAGUGCAGAGGCGGACGCUGGCGGGCCGUUGAUUGGAGCCAUCUCGCUCAACCAUACAGUCAACGCCACCUACUACGUGAACCGCAGUAACUACAUGCUCAACCGCCCUUUGCAGGUGAGCGCGGUUAUCCCCGAAGGGAACGGCACCGUCGCUGCUCUUGUCAGCAACUACGCUGCAAGUGAGCUGAUCGAGUACACACAGGCAUACUACAAGGGCAGCAUUGACUCAGUCGACAUCCGGCUAAGGUGGCUGCAACCAUCCUCGCAUCCGCACCUCAUCUACUACAACUAUCCUGCCGGGUUAAUUUACCGUAGCCUCAAGCUCCCGACGAACGUCAGUAUCACUGAUUGCACGCAGGUGCACAUCGAUGGCGCGCGGCUCGCCCUCAACACCAUCGGCGAAGCCAAGUCCGGUUUCCUCUUGGCCGUCUUUAUCAACCAAAGCCUCGCAGACGCCGACCCGCUUAUCAUGUCCAACAACUGGGGUCAGCAGACAGUGCACGACAAUAUUAUUUUUCCUUUCAGCGAGCAUGCACCCACGGCCUACCUCAAGUCGAGCAACGUCAGCCACCCACUCAUGCGCGAGGCGCUCAAGCACGUCGACCUCUCCCGCAUGCGAGACCCCGGUUACAAGCACAGCGUCGAUUUUCGCUACAACGACGCACGCGCCGUCAUCACCGUAUGGGCCUACACAUCGUGCCACGGUCUGACGCUGCCACUGGUGUACGUCAACUCCCAGAAUACUGUCACUGGUCCCUACCUGCGGCUGCACGAUACCCUCAACGGUGUCCUUGCCGCCGUCAUGGUGCUCGUCAGUUUGGUCUUUUGGCUGUUCGUGCAGCUGUACUUUGCGGCGCCGCUGCGCGAGAUCACGCGGCUGCUGAACUGCAGCGUGCAGCGAGGUGCGCGUGCACUAUACCGCGCCGGGAAGCACGGCAUUGGUGCGCUGGCGGAGGUGCGUGCGCUGGGCAACGCACACAACGCCGCCAUGCGCCAGCUGCGCGAAGUCGAUGCCUUCGUCCCCGCAGCCGUGCGCAAGGAGCUGCCUCGUGGCACCCUGCCCGCACCCCUCACUGUACCCAUCGAGACAACGCUAGCCGGCCUCAAUGUCGUCAUGGGGUCGUCUGAGAACAGAGCCGCGCACCUCGCGCGCCACCUUUCCACCGUCGUCUACAUCACUGUGCGGCCGCCGCAGCCACCGCCAGUAGCGUCGCACAGCUCGAGCAGGACACCAGCACCUCUAUCCACGCAGCCAGCCGGGCACGACGCCGCCGCCAUAACGCCACGCUGCAAGCAGCGCCUGUCAGUCAUGGUGCAGCGUGCGGUGCACGCAGUCAACGCAACCAGCAGCGGUCCCUUCGCCACGCCGGCGGCCCUCGAAGCCUUCGCCAGCGUCGUGCAUGAGCUCGCGCACACACACCGCGGCACGGUGCUCCGCCUGCGCCCCGACACUUGCAUCCUGCACUUCCACGCAGCCGUGCGCGCGCACCUCCUGCCGCGGCAGGAGGUGCAGUUGGUCAACGCAGCAGAUGUGGACGUGGGCACGGAGGAGCUCGCGCAGCAGGACGCACGCGACGCGGCUGCCUUUGCUCUGGCUUUGCUGAGCUGGGUGGACGAGCAGCAGACGGCGGAAGGGCAGUUGGAGUUGCCGCGCAUGCCGGACGUGCGCGCGCUGCUGGACACGAGUCUGUUUACGUGUGGGCAGUACCGCCCCGCCGACAGCGAGCAGACCAUGACAGUGGCACUGGGCCGCGAUGUGCUGCGCGACGCCGGUAGCAUGGUGGAACGCAUCGGCGUGCGCGUUGCCAUGACCGAGGAGACCGCCGCGCGCGUGCUCCGUGGUGGCAGUGGCGAUAGCGGCGCGGCGGCGGUGAGUGCGAUACCGGUGGAGGCGCUGUGCACCGGCCGCGCAGAGCACGACGCGGACGAACUGGUGCUGUACGAGGCACUUUGCAGUCGUGUCGCCAGUGGCACCGCCUUGCAGCUGUACGCGCGCUGUUGCUUCGACGGCUUCGCGCGCAUGCGGCAGGGCGACUACGCAGGCGCGCUCACCGCCUUCUGCGGUGUCGCCGCGAUCGCGGACCUGGAUCCCGGGCUGCUACCGCCAUGCCUGCGCCGCGAGGUCGCAGCUAGCGGCGCCACCGUAGGCGCCGUGUCGGUGCAGGUGGCACGACUCAUGCGCGAGUGCGAACGCUGCGUGCGUGCAGGCGUCGCCGAUGGCUUUCAGCGCGUGCCGCGGCGGCCACCGGGAAUGGACGCCGUGCUGCCAGAUGACAUCACGCCCCUCGGCACGGCGCCGCCGGUGAGCACCGCUCGCAGCGGCGUCCCCGCAGCAAGCGCCAAACCGCGAAGAAUGGCAAGUAGCUUCACGGCGCCGCCAUGGUAUCCAGAGGUGGGCGACCGACACGUGAUGCUGCUGAGCAACGGUGCUGUCACCACGCGUGUGGUGGUGCCAACGCCGCCAGCAUGGGUGCGCGACAACCACGGAAUGUACUGGCAGCUCGCGUGCAGGAAAAGCGACUGUACCCCACCAGAGCUGUGGGCUUGCCGCAUCCUUGCGCUAGGCUCCGCCGGCGCCAUCGCCUCCGUCAACUACAUCAUGUACCGCGAGGUGCACCCGGUGGUAGCCAAGGCCAUUCGCGAUGCACCUCCGGGCCCCAUCAGCGAUGCGCUGCGCCGCGCUACACCCGUGUGCGGGCCCACAGCACAGCAGGACGCCGCCAUUAAGCGCUUGAUUACGAGGCAUCAAGAGCUGCGGCACCCCAACAUUCUUGCACCGCUGGCGUACUCACAGUCAGUGGAGGGUGGCGUGGUGCUGAUCUGGGAAUUUUGCCCUGGUGGGACGCUGCGGCAGCUGCUGGCUCGCUAUCCGCGGGUCAAGUCCGUCACCUUCGCAUGUUUUGGGCUACAGAUGUUGUCUGCCCUCUCCCACCUCCACGAGCGUGGAGUGGCGCACGGUAGGCUGAACCUGGACAACGUCAUGGUGGACUCGAAUGGUCACUGCCGGUUAAUCGGGCAGUUUGCGGAUCAUGCGUUGGAGCGGGAGAUCUUCCACUUCAAGCCGUCGUGCUACCUGAGCCCCGCCAUGGCCGCUGGUGCCCUCCCAACGCCGCCGUGCGACAUGUUCUGUUACGGGUUGCUGGCGAUGGAGGCAGUGACGCAGCAGCCGUGUUGGAGAUGGGCCACAGCAGCGGAGUACGGAGGGCAUCGUGACUCGAAGCCACCGUCGGCGAAGGAGCUGGCAGACCUGAUGGCGACGGGUGGGCAGAGGUUUGCGGAUGCGGUGGUGCAGGGUCGCGUUGUGCUCAACCUGGAACAACUGGAUGUCGGCCCAAUCACGGAGCACCAUAACGACACCAUGAUAAGUGUGUGUCGACGGCUGCUGUCUCUGGACCCGGCAUCGCGGCCGACGGCAGCAGAGCUGCGGGAGGAGAACAAGUUUGUCCUCAAUCUCCUGGGGAUCACCAUGGAAGAAGACACGCGUUAGGGGGAUUAGUAGAGAGUAGCGGCACACCUAUCGCCUCCUCCGCCACCCAGGUAUGUGUGUGUGUGUGUGUGUGUAUGGUGAAGGGGCGCGCGUCACAUCCGUCACGGCACGUGGCGAUCCGCCCCGUCUCUUCAUCCGCCUCCCCCCCACCCCCCCCCACCCGACCUGGCCCGACUCGACCCUUUCUUCUCCAGUCGCUCGCGUCUCCUUCGCUCACGUGCCGUGUAGCGCAGCCAUGCACGCACAUCAUGUCAGCAGCGCUGGUGUGUUCUGUUGAGGAACGGAAAGCGGCGGGCGAGCUACCAGGGUGAAGGCGGACAGCGCAGAGCUCAAAUCCGGGACAGGAAGUGCUUCUCGAGUGUGGGUGUGACGCUCGUGGCGCGACACCGUAUAAACGACGUGGAGGGAAACGCGAGAGAUUCGGAAUCUGCAUCCCCUUCCCCCUCCCUCCCUCCCUCCCUCCACACCUCAUUCAACACACACGCACACACCUACCGCUCUCCUCACCAUCUCUUAAGCCCCGCAUCACCACCACCGUCACCCCCUGUAAACAUAUAUCUAUCUAUAUAUAUAUAGAUAUAUAUGCGUCUACGUGCGUGGGUGGGUGUGUACCUCACUCUUCUUUUUGGUUUUGUUUUUUGAAUGCGUUGGCGUUUCGUCGCGUGUGUUUAUUCGCCCUUUCCCCAUUCCUGUCAUCUUCCAGUGACCUCGUCACAGCCGGGGUUCCCCUCCCCUCCCCCUCCCCUCCCCCUCCCCUUCUUCCUCCACGCCACCGCCUGUUCUUGCUACCUUACCUUUUUCUUUCUCGCACACCACAGCGUAUCACCGACUGUGCGGCCCUUUCGUCUCAGAAGGCGCUACGUGGCCUCUGCGAUUGCCCCUCCACCACCCGACUCCCCGACCACAUGCUCCGACCCUCUGGCUCGCAGCACUGCCUGUAGGCGUACUUUGCGUGAGGUGAGGGAGCGACAGAGGCGACGGACCAGGCGUCUUCUUGUGCGCGUGUGUGUAUAGGCCUGGCCGAUUCCAGUUGGCGGCGCGCCAGCAGACAACGUGCACUGUUCUCUUCCCCUCCCCCCUACCCCUCCUCCUCUCUCUCUCCCCCUCAGCGCGUGCUCCUUGUCUUUGUGUGGGCACGUCGGGCACUCCGCGAGCCCGCUCUUCAGUGCUGCGGCUUUUCUUUUUGUGGCGCGUGCUGUCGUCCUCGUUUGCCCCUGCCACCAUUUUACUCCAUUCAUCUCAUUUUUCUUUUCGGGAGAGUGAGCGGGGAGAAGACACACACACACGCACUCCCUCUGUGGGAGAAAGCCAGUCUGCACCCCCCCCCCCUACGCACUCACCGCACCCCUGCCAAGUGCCGCACCACCUGUGGUGGCGACGGGGCCAAGCGCCUGCGACGUAGGGGAAGUCAGAGCGACUCAUCGCUGCUGAUGUCGGCGGUCGCGUCCCGGAUGGCGUGGCGUCGGAGCGACCGGCGACGGUGAACACGUCUUUGCCACCCACAUGAUGGGCGAAGCGUCACCGCUCCCCAAGCGUAACUCAGCCGCACCUGAGAGGUGCACGACGUGGCGACCGGCAUGAUGGGAGCGGCUGGGAGGCAGCGUGCGCGGUGCAGGGUGGGCGGGGUGUAGGGCAGGGGCCGUGCUCCGAUGACUGGGCUGGCGCAUGCGCUGUAGCAUGUGUCUACGUAUGUGCGUGUGUGUGUCCGCGGCUGCAUUGCACCACGCUGGUGGGGGCCUGUGGCAGUGCCAGCGGGGGAGGGGGGUUGAGGUAGAGCGACCUUUAACCGCACGCCAUGUGGCAGAGAAAGUGGACGAGGGGGGCGGUAAAACUAUAUUUUUCGGGGCGAGCAAGAGAGAUCUUGUCAUCAUCAAGCCGCCCACGCCCUUUUCUGUGUUCUCGUUCUCGGGUGGACGUGUGUGCACGGGUGUGCAUGCGUGCUCAGGUGCCUCGCACCGCCCUCGAAACACUCGUACCAGCGCCUGCCACGUAAGUUCACCACCCCUGAUUACCGUGCGGCCCACAAGCCCCCCUCCUUCCCUCUGCAUGGGCGUCGUGGUCUCUGUGAGGCAUCUCUCACUUCCUCAUCCAAGUUGCCUUCCCACUCCCUCCCUCCUUAUUUGUACGCGCCUCCUCAUGGCUUCCUGUGUGUUGUGCGCCAUCUUCGUAUCUGCCGAAGCGUGCGAAAGGAAGGAGGAGAGGUAGAGAGAGGGUUCACGUAGUCAGUUUUUGUUUUUUAUUGAGGACGGGUCGGCGCUUGAUUGUGGUCAUCUUUCUCACUCUCACACACACACGCACGCACACACACUCCCCCUCCCUCAAUGACUUUAACGGCGUCGCCUACCGUUUUUUUUCUCUGCGUGCUUUCAUGGUUCUAUCGCCGCGCCGCUGCGGACCACGUCGUGGCGCAGGUAAAAGCAAUAUGCUCUGUCUUUUCGUUUCUGUGCCACACUUACUUCUUCAUCAUCACUACCGCCAUCAUGCUUGCGAGUGUGAGCCACUCGUUCCUCCAUGCUGCAAUAUAGUUGCACCAAAAAGGGGUGAGGGGGGCAAGUGAAGGUCGCGCUUGCUUUUCUAUCCCGCCAUCCUUC